AUGGAGGAAGCAGGAAAGGACCUAAGCUUCGGCAAGAGUAAGGCAGCAUACAUGGCAAACCCUCACGUGGUCCAGAAGUGUAAAGCAGUUUCAAUGAAGAAGAAUCUGCAGUUGCCUGAAACCAAGGAGAAGAUGGUGAGUGCAGAUGCUGAAGUAAAUAUGGUCGAGGAAGUUGUGCUUCAAACGGAUAUGCCAACUGUAGUGAGUAGAGAGCCAACCACCAUCACAGGAGUUCAACAGAUCAAGGGGAAGACUCCCCUUUCAAUAGUCCCACCAAAACCACCUAAGCAGCAAAAGAUUGUCAAGUUUGCCAGGGUCACAAAGGUGGAAUAG
rnacentral:rRNA from 1 species